GACAGAGGGUGCAAACGUUGCUCGGAAUUACUGGGCGUAAAGCGCGUGUAGGUGGAUUGGUGUGUCAGAUGUGAAAUCCCUCGGCUUAACCGAGGAACUGCCAUCCAGACUGUUUGGCUUGAGACCGGGAGAGGUGAGUGGAAUUCCCAGUGUAGCGGUGAAAUGCGUAGAUAUUGGGAGGAACACCAGUGGCGAAGGCGGCUCACUGGACCGGUACUGACGCUGAUGCGCGAAAGCGUG
rnacentral:rRNA from 1 species